rnacentral:rRNA from 1 species
GACGAACGCUGGCGGCGUGCUUAACACAUGCAAGUCGAACGGAAAGGCCCUGCUUUUGUGGGGUGCUCGAGUGGCGAACGGGUGAGUAACACGUGAGUAACCUGCCCUUGACUUUGGGAUAACUUCAGGAAACUGGGGCUAAUACCGGAUAGGAGCUCCUGCUGCAUGGUGGGGGUUGGAAAGUUUCGGCGGUUGGGGAUGGACUCGCGGCUUAUCAGCUUGUUGGUGGGGUAGUGGCUUACCAAGGCUUUGACGGGUAGCCGGCCUGAGAGGGUGACCGGCCACAUUGGGACUGCGAUACGGCCCAGACUCCUACGGGAGGCAGCAGGGGGGAAUAUUGCACAAUGGGCGGAAGCCUGAUGCAGCAACGCCGCGUGCGGGAUGACGGCCUUCGGGUUGUAAACCGCUUUCGCCUGUGACGAAGCGUGAGUGACGGUAAUGAGUAAAGAAGCACCGGCUAACUACGUG